UUCUGUAAUAGCCAGCAAGAGUAAACAACAGAGGUGCGAAACUUACAUGUUUUCAUUCACCGAGACUGUUUAUUAUUUCAAGAAUUUCCGGUUUUUAUUCACAGAAGAAAUCAUUCUCGGUUCACACAUGGUGAUAAAUAAGCACAUGGGAUAUCAAUUAACAACUUUAGCACCUGUUGUCAAUGGUAAAUUGAUGGGACGAACUCUUGGCCAUUCAUCAAGAGGAUAACAACCAGAUGACUCAUCAUGACGUAAGGUUACAUUAUCACAAACACGGUACAGAAAAGGGCAAAAGCGAGAUUACAAAAAGUCAACUGAAUUAAACUAAAGCGAGUUUUACAUGAUUUUGAACUGUUGGGGACUCGUCUUUCUCAGCCAAAAAGGCUCACUCUUUUUUUUUCUUAAGAACGUGUAAUUUUCAGUUGAGGCUGAGCCGUUCUUAUUUUUGGAGGUGUGAUAUGUUCUUAACGAUGUUUUUACAUUUUAGUGUAUAUAAGAAUAUAACACCCAACGAAUUAUUAGGAAGAUCUAUAAUGAUCAAUAGCAAUAAUAAAGGUUGUUACUAUGAGCACAAUAUGAUUUUGCAUUUUAGAACGCACCAGGACUAAAAAGGAAAUUUGUUUCUGCUAUCUGAGCCUCGGUAUGUUCUUAGCAUGUUCUUUAAAUCUGGUGAAAUCUCUGGAUGUUCUUAUAAAAGGGUUCAUAUAAAAAAAAGUGUAUUUAAGACUAUGAUAACGGAUAAUAAACUAAUUAUGUUCUGUUGAUGUUUUGCUUUAAAAUAUAAAACACGCCCUUAUUCACGCCAAAUAAUAAGUAUUUUUCUUCUAAGUCUUUACGAGAAUAUAAAACUUGAACCCGCUAGGGACGUACAUUUGCACUUAACAUUUUUUUUUUUACUUACAACGCGGAAAGAAGAUCUGAGCGUUUUAAUUAUUCAGCUAAUUUAGGGCUCAAGGUUGCUGUUUUGUUUGGGUUCUUAAUAAAUCGAGGUAUGUAUUUGUAUAUAAAACAUCAAAGCAUAAAGGAAGUUAGGUACAAGCUACUGCAAUAACCUGACAACAGGCCCACAGGCUGUGCAAACACGACCAUCACCUGCGAGUCCGAAGUUUGACAUGUUUGGUUCUGUUCAAGUUCUGCUUGCUUCGUUUCACAGUCUCAAAUCCAUUUUUCGACAAAACAUUUGAGAUGUUUCCUUACUGGAUUUAAAUCCAGUAACAUUUCCUUCUAUCGAUUUCUUUUUAAAAUAACAUUAUUUCGUCAUCUGAAGGGAAGAAGAAGAAAGGAAGGCCUAAAACCACUUGACGAACAACAGUAGAGAGAGAGAGAAAUGAAGAAUGCAGGAUGGAAGACAUGGAUAAGGCAAAUGCUGUUGCUGCCAACAGAAGACACUGGAAGCAUUCUGUGGCGUUAUGUGCCACUAGGCACAAAAUAGAUAGGUAGCCCUCCGAUUGUUAAGAACGCCUGACAUGUUUUGAUAGCGCUGCACUGAUCGGAAGGGGGAUGGCCGGGGUGACGCUUGCUUGUUUAGCGGGAUGCUCUGCGGCUUUCGCUUCGUGCUCUGCCAAACUAGCUAUGUCUCCCGAUUUCUGGCAUCGCUUACUGUGUAGUGGUUUGUUGUCUUCAGUUCAAGACACAACAAGUUCAGAAGACGAGACUUAUUGCCCUUGGGUUGUAGUCUGCUGUCAGAUAAUAUCAUUUGGUCUUGUGUUUGUGAUGAAUGCGCUGAUGUGGACUUUGUUUGUCAAGUCUUUGCAAAAGUGUUCUUCAGCUGUCUCAAGUGUUACUAACAUUGGGACCAACCUUAUUUUUAC